UCUUUUACUCAACAGGUAUUAUAUAUAUACGUUAUAUAAUGCGUAUAAAUUAAAAUUGAAACAGUGCUUCAGCCGAGAUUCGAACAGGUGUGCAUUGGUUCCCAAGCAGCAUGCCUACCGGUUUGGCUAUGUGACUUUUCCGUUUCAUUAUGAAACGUUAAAGUAUAUACCUAUUCGGAUCAGCCAGUGUAAAAUCCAAAUGUGUUCUAAUCCACCAAGUGGUACGAUUUUCUCUAUAAAUAGAGACCUUCAAAGCCAUAAUCAUCAUCCGAAAAUUCAAGCCUAGAAAUCUUCCUUUACUUCUCUAAUGCAUGAGAGAAUUGUGGGAAACAUAAAUUUGUAAAUACUUUUGAGAGAUACGCUUCUUGUGCUUGUGCAAAUUACAUCAAGGUUUCCAAAGUAUCCUGAAGGGGAUUCGCGGUUCAUCCCAUUUGCAUCCAAUAUACUUAGAUUGGUGGGGGCGAAUCCAACCUAAAGGUUAGUGUGUUAACACAGACUUUGGAGGUUUCGAUGUGCAUUUCCAUCAACAUCUUCUUUGUCCAAGUGGUGUAGCAUCUUCCCCAACAAUCAAGAUUUUCCAACAAUUACAUGGGGGACCGGCAAGUGCGGUCCUGGACGAUACGUGGCAGAGGUAGCAUGAUGAGAUGGCUUGCUGCAUGCAUCGAAGGCGCACAAUAGCAUACCUCAUACGAAAUUUGCAGUUUGGCUGUCAUCGGGAAUGGGGCCUUUGAAAGGUGCCGCUUAUGGAAGCGGUCCCUAUGUAUAUUAUUCAAUGAAUAUAAAGUUGUUAUUGAAAAACACCAAGUUUAGAGUCUGCAAUGUAUUGAAUAUAAAGAGGAAAACUUGUUCCACAUAAUAGUUAUCAUUUUUAUGAAAAUCCAAUGGUUUG